GAUGAACGCUGGCGGCGUGCCUAAUACAUGCAAGUCGAGCGAACGGACGAGAAGCUUGCUUCUCUGAUGUUAGCGGCGGACGGGUGAGUAACACGUGGAUAACCUACCUAUAAGACUGGGAUAACUUCGGGAACCGGAGCUAAUACCGGAUAAUAUUUUGAACCGCAUGGUUCAAAAGUGAAAGACGGUCUUGCUGUCACUUAUAGAUGGAUCCGCGCUGCAUUAGCUAGUUGGUAAGGUAACGGCUUACCAAGGCAACGAUGCAUAGCCGACCUGAGAGGGUGAUCGGCCACACUGGAACUGAGACACGGUCCAGACUCCUACGGGAGGCAGCAGUAGGGAAUAUUCCGCAAUGGGCGAAAGCCUGACGGAGCAACGCCGCGUGAGUGAUGAAGGUCUUCGGAUCGUAAAACUCUGUUAUUAGGGAAGAACAUAUGUGUAAGUAACUGUGCACAUCUUGACGGUACCUAAUCAGAAAGCCACGGCUAACUACGUG
rnacentral:rRNA from 1 species